GUCCCUAUAGUCUAAUGGAUAGAAUGCGACCCUCCGAAGGUCGAGAUCCAGGUUCGAUUCCUGGUAGGGGCA
rnacentral:tRNA from 1 species